rnacentral:rRNA from 1 species
GAGCUUGCUCCCUGGGUGACGAGCGGCGGACGGGUGAGUAAUGUCUGGGAAACUGCCUGAUGGAGGGGGAUAACUACUGGAAACGGUAGCUAAUACCGCAUAACGUCGCAAGACCAAAGAGGGGGACCUUCGGGCCUCUUGCCAUCAGAUGUGCCCAGAUGGGAUUAGCUAGUAGGUGGGGUAAUGGCUCACCUAGGCGACGAUCCCUAGCUGGUCUGAGAGGAUGACCAGCCACACUGGAACUGAGACACGGUCCAGACUCCUACGGGAGGCAGCAGUGGGGAAUAUUGCACAAUGGGCGCAAGCCUGAUGCAGCCAUGCCGCGUGUGUGAAGAAGGCCUUCGGGUUGUAAGGUUAAAACUCAAAUGAAUUGACGGGGGCCCGCACAAGCGGUGGAGCAUGUGGUUUAAUUCGAUGCAACGCGAAGAACCUUACCUACUCUUGACAUCCAGAGAACUUAGCAGAGAUGCUUUGGUGCCUUCGGGAACUCUGAGACAGGUGCUGCAUGGCUGUCGUCAGCUCGUGUUGUGAAAUGUUGGGUUAAGUCCCGCAACGAGCGCAACCCUUAUCCUUUGUUGCCAGCGGUUCGGCCGGGAACUCAAAGGAGACUGCCAGUGAUAAACUGGAGGAAGGUGGGGAUGACGUCAAGUCAUCAUGGCCCUUACGAGUAGGGCUACACACGUGCUACAAUGGCGUAUACAAAGAGAAGCGACCUCGCGAGAGCAAGCGGACCUCAUAAAGUACGUCGUAGUCCGGAUUGGAGUCUGCAACUCGACUCCAUGAAGUCGGAAUCGCUAGUAAUCGUAGAUCAGAAUGCUACGGUGAAUACGUUCCCGGGCCUUGUACACACCGCCCGUCACACCAUGGGAGUGGGUUGCAAAAGAAGUAGGUAGCUUAACCUUCGGGAGGGCGC